rnacentral:rRNA from 1 species
ACGGGUGCGUAACGCGUAUGCAACCUACCUUAAUCAGGGGGAUAGCCCGGAGAAAUCCGGAUUAACACCGCAUAAAAACACAGGAUAGCAUUAUCCAAUGUUCAAAUAUUUAUAGGAUUAAGAUGGGCAUGCGUGUCAUUAGCUAGUUGGCGGGGUAACGGCCCACCAAGGCAACUAUUACUAGGGGAUCUGAGAGGAUGACCCCCCACACUGGUACUGAAACACGGACUCAAACUCAUACGGGAGGCAGCAGUAAGGAAUAUUGGUCAAUGGGGGCAACCCUGAACCAGCCAUGCCGCGUGCAGGAAGACUGCCCUAUGGGUUGUAAACUGCUUUUAUCCGGGAAUAAACCACAUUACGUGUAGUGUGCUGAAUGUACCGGAAGAAUAAGGAUCGGCUAACUCCGUGCCAGCAGCCGCGGUAAUACGGAGGAUCCAAGCGUUAUCCGGAUUUAUUGGGUUUAAAGGGUGCGUAGGCGGCCUGUUAAGUCAGGGGUGAAAGACGGUAGCUCAACUAUCGCAGUGCCCUUGAUACUGAUGGGCUUGAAUGGACUAGAGGUAGGCGGAAUGAGACAAGUAGCGG